CCGAAUCACGUACGAUCACCGAAGUUAAACAACGUCGAGCAUGGUCAGUACAUAGAUGGGUGACCUCUUGGGAAUACCAGGUGU
rnacentral:rRNA from 1 species